CAGUCGCCGCGGUAAUACGUAGGUGGCAGGCGUUGUCCGGAAUUAUUGGGCGUAAAGGGCUCGCAGGCGGUUUCUUAAGUCUGAUGUGAAAGCCCCCGGCUCAACCGGGGAGGGUCAUUGGAAACUGGGAAACUUGAGUGCAGAAGAGGAGAGUGGAAUUCCACGUGUAGCGGUGAAAUGCGUAGAGAUGUGGAGGAACACCAGUGGCGAAGGCGACUCUCUGGUCUGUAACUGACGCUGAGGAGCGAAAGCGUGGGGAGCGAACAGGAUUAGAUACCCCCGUAGUCCCUGUCUCUUAUAC
rnacentral:rRNA from 1 species